ensembl:lncRNA
GGCAGGGCGGGAGGGGCCGCCGCUCUGCGUGGCGCUGCCGGGCCGCCCCGUAGCCCUGCGCUGCUCUGCGAGGACGGCCGGGUGUCACAGUGCGGGACGCGGCCUCAGCGGCGCUCUGCGGCUGGGCUCGGUGCUGUGGCCGCUCUGUGCAGCCUUACUGACGCUCCGUGAUCCCGGCCUCGCGGCUCCCACCCGCACGCGCAGCCCGAGUCUUCCCCAGGCCGAGCAGCUCCACGUCACGCAGCCUUCCCCCACAGGGAGAUGCUCCAGGCCUUCUCAGCUCUGUUAUCAGGAUGCCAUGGGAGAUAACACCAAAAGCCUUGCUGACAUCCACUUGCACCAAAAGCCUUGCAGAUGACAUCCACUCCUCCCCCCGCACCUACCCGGCUGGUGAUGCCAUCAUAGAAGGCUACGAGGUUGGUCAAGCUCGAUUUCCCCUUGGUGAACCCAUGCUGACUGCUCCUGAUGACCUUCUCCUCCAAUUGCCUGGAGAUGGCACCCAGAACACGCUGCUCCAUGGCCUUUCCAGGCACAGAGGUGAGGCUGACUGCCUGCGGUUUCCUGGAUCCUCCUUCCUACCCUUUCUGCAGAUCUGCAUACUGCUCCCACCCAGCAGCUCCAGGACCCCCCCCUCACCCAGAGGGCAGCUCUCCAUUCCUGGACUCUCCCUGUUCCCCCCGGGGUCCCAAGAGGGUGGUCUUGGAAGUGAGAACUGUACCAAAGAAGGCACUCAGCAUCUCCACCUCCUCAGCACACCUCCCCUUGUUCCACAGGGUACCUUCUUACUUCCUCAUCAACACAGCAAUUGGGGUUUCGUGAGUGGAACAAAUGUGCAACAGCCCCGAGCUGCGAGGAGGAGUCAGGAGAGAGAUUCCGUGCAGUGCUGCAGCACGGUGCAUCCGCAGGGCACUGCCCACAGCACCGUGCACUGCCUGCAGCACCGUGCACUGCCUGCAGCACUGAGCACUACCCGCAGCACCGUGCAUUCCCUGCAGCACCGUUCUCUACCUGCAGCACUGCGCAUGGCUCUCCCUGCAGUGCCCGCAGCGCCAUGAACUGUGUCCUGCUCUGCGUGCACUGUGUGCCACCUAUGCCGUGCACCGCCUGCAGUGCUAUGCAUGGCCCGCACACCGUGCUGCCUGCAGCUGCUUGCACCGCCCAGGGGAGAUUGCAGAGGGCAGAGCGCUGCUCAUUGUGCUCCUGUCCCCACUGCCGGCAUGCAGCCGCGCUGGAGCGGAGCUGCUCUGGAAGAACCAAAGGACAGUUCCCCCCCACCCCCGCCCUGUGCUCGGAGCUCAUCUCCCCGCUGCCGAUCAGCACAUUCAGUGCUUAAAAGGAAACGAGUCCGCUGUGCUGAUGGGAGAGCCCGGGAGGCGCCGUGCGACCCUGCUUGGCAGCUCCGGGAAGGGCACCGUGUCAGAGCUCCCCGUGCACAAUGCACAGCGCAGCGUGUACAAUGCACGAUGCAGGACGCAGGGAGAGCGGAGUGCCAUCUCUGUUGGGGACGGCCCCGUUUCCGUGGCAACCGAGAGGCUCCGGCGGCGGCCGCGUGGCCCCGGCAGAGGGCACUGCGCGUUGUGCAGUGGAGGAGCCCAGCCCCGUGCCGGGCAGCACUCCAUGUUCCCGGCCUGCUGCGGCGCUCAGAGCGCUGGCACAGCGCUCUGCUGGAGUUACUCAUCGCUCCCAUCAGCAGCCCUCACCCAGCGCCCAUCUGCGGCUGCAGGACAGCGCCGUUCAUCAGCGGUGUGAGUCGGAGCUGGAGUGUGUGCAGCGGGGCCUCAGCUGUGUGCCCAUCGCCGUGCAUCCCUCGCCGUGCUGCGUGUGCUGCAGGAUGGGGCUGCACACGAGCGUGCAAAGUGCUGGGUGCGUGGAAAUGGCUGGAAAAGUGCUCCCUACUCCUGCUUCAAUCAGAGGAACGGAGCAGCUGUUGGAGUGAAUGGGCCCUGCACUAAAGCAGACGUCUUAAUAUCUUUUGCAGAGGAGGUGCAUUGUGAUUCACUCUGUGCAUCUCUAUUACUCAGCGUUUGAUAGGGGCUUACUUGUCUCAAGUGCUUUUCAUUAUUGCCCUAAUGCUAUCUAUUAACAUAUGGGAUGGAGGCUCUUUUCUCAUCUGGAGCGUGCAUCACUCCGCUUUUAAGGAUGAUGGGGCUUGCAAGUACAUAACACUUUGCUGCCUCCCUGACGGAGCUCACCAGGAGGAGGGAGGGGGUGCGUGGGGUUGGAGGGCCGCAGGGCUGCGAGGACACAGUGGUGUGAGCAGAGCCACAGCCAUGCACUGCUCCACUGCCACAGCCCUGCACGGCAGCCGGGUCAGUUAGCUGCUUUAACUGCCCAGGGGGUGUUUGCAGGUGCAGGCUCUGUGGGCAGACUUUGCGGGGGAAGAUUACAGGUGUGGUUUUCUGGGUGGGUGCUGUGUGAUGGGCAGAGCUGUGCUGGGGCGGUCCCACGCGCUGCUCUUACUCUGCACAUGGCUGCAACUCAGAGCUGAACCUUCUGCUGGACAGGAGCAGAAGGAGCUGCAGCCUGGUGAGAGAGCACAUCUCUUCCCUCGGCUCAGGAUGAGUUCUGCCUUGCAUUUUGGUGAGCUAUGGCAAGAAACGCAAUAGCACAGGAGCAAAAAUCACUGCACCUCAGGCUCAGAGCGGUUGGAAGGGACCUGUGGGGCUCCCCCAGCCCGGCCCCAUCCUGCAGGACCCGCAUGUCCCAUCAGCCAGGUUGGGAUGGGGGGAUUCAGAGCACCUGGAAACCCCAGCGUGGCACAGUCGUGCAGCAGCCGCCUCCGAGCAGCUUGAUGGAUGGCGGGCCGGUCCCACCCGCAGCCAGAUGACAGCUCCUCGCAUCAGCCGCUGUGAUAAAUAGCAAUUACAGACAGGAGCACUGCCACUCACAUUUGCCUAAGUGAGGAGCAGAAUCAUACAUCUCCGCUGAUUACAUAUCAAUGAUGCGCUGGAGGCCUUCGCAACUUUUAGAUCCGCUUAAGAUAUGCCGCCCUGAUUUAGACGGCGAUUUGCAUACAAUUUACCCAUAAAGCCUUACUUUGAAAAGCAUAAUUACUUCUUCUUCUUCUUCUUUUUUUUUUUUUUUGUUUUAAUAUUCUUCCUUCUGAUUUGAAUGUUAGCGAGGCCAUAGCAUGAAUUACUGUGCUAAUGAAGAC